rnacentral:rRNA from 1 species
UUAGUUUCUUAAUUGGGAAAUAGGAUGAAUGGUUUCACUAAAAUAUAGUUUUUAUCCUCAUUUGCGAAAUUUUAAUCUAAGUGAAAAUACUUAGCAGUUGUACUAGGACGAGAAGACCCUAUGAAGCUGGCAAACUAUUAAUACAUAUUCCUAUUAUUUAUUAGUUUAUUUUUUGGGGUAAAAUUUAAUAAUACUAUUAACACAAUUGUACUAAAUUACAUCCUCUAGGAAUUAUGAAGAAGCUCCUCUAGGGAUAACAGCAUUAUGCUUAAAAGAGUUCUUAUCAGAAUAAGCGUUUGUGACCUCGAUGUUGAAUUAAAUGCUCUUUUAUGUGCAGGAGCUUAGAAGAG